rnacentral:rRNA from 1 species
CCUACGGGUGGCAGCAGUGAGGAAUAUUGGUCAAUGGGCGCAAGCCUGAACCAGCCAAGUCGCGUGAGGGAUGACGGUCCUAUGGAUUGUAAACCUCUUUUGUCGGGGAGCAAGGCCCGCCACGUGUGGCGGGUAGGAGAGUACCCGAAGAAAAAGCUUCGGUUAACUCCGUGCCAGCAGCCGCGGUAAUACGGAGGAUGCGAGCGUUAUCCGGAUUUAUUGGGUUUAAAGGGUGCGUAGGUGGUCGGAUAAGUUAGAGGUGAAAGCCCGAGGCUCAACUUCGGAAUUGCCUCUGAUACUGUACGGCUAGAGAGUAGUUGCGGUAGGCGGAAUGUAUGGUGUAGCGGUGAAAUGCUUAGAGAUCAUACAGAACACCGAUUGCGAAGGCAGCUUACCAAGCUACUUCUGACGUUGAGGCACGAAAGCGUGGGGAGCAAACAGGAUUAGAUACCCGGGUAGUC